rnacentral:snoRNA from 1 species
GUCUCUCAGAAGAGGUAGUGACUGAAGAUGCCCUCAUUAUCCAAAAUGAAAUCAGGCAAAGCAACAGCAAUCAUCAUUGUACCA